rnacentral:rRNA from 1 species
GAGUUUGAUCGUGGCUCAGAAUGAACGCUGGCGGCAUGCCUAACACAUGCAAGUCGAACGAGUACCUUCGGGUGCUAGUGGCGCACGGGUGCGUAACGCGUGGGAAUCUGCCCUUAGGUUCGGAAUAACAGCGAGAAAUUGCUGCUAAUACCGGAUGAUGGCUUCGGCCCAAAGAUUUAUCGCCUAGGGAUGAGCCCGCGUAAGAUUAGGUAGUUGGUGUGGUAAAGGCGCACCAAGCCGACGAUCUUUAGCUGGUCUGAGAGGAUGAUCAGCCACACUGGGACUGAGACACGGCCCAGACUCCUACGGGAGGCAGCAGUGGGGGAAUAUUGGACAAUGGGCGCAAGCCUGAUCCAGCAAUGCCGCGUGAGUGAUGAAGGCCUUAGGGUUGUAAAGCUCUUUUACCCGGGAUGAUAAUGACAGUACCGGGAGAAUAAGCUCCGGCUAACUCCGUGCCAGCCGCCGCGGUAAG